GAUGAACGCUGGCGGCGUGCUUAACACAUGCAAGUCGAACGAUUAAACCGCCCUCGGGCGGACAUAGAGUGGCGAACGGGUGAGUAACACGUGACCAACCUGCCCCGCGCUCCGGGACAACCGCUGGAAACGGCGGCUAAUACCGGAUACUCCGGGAGGGCCCCAUGGCCCUGCCGGGAAAGCCGAGACGGCGCGGGAUGGGGUCGCGGCCCAUUAGGUAGACGGCGGGGUAACGGCCCACCGUGCCCGCGAUGGGUAGCCGGACUGAGAGGUCGACCGGCCACAUUGGGACUGAGAUACGGCCCAGACUCCUACGGGAGGCAGCAGUGGGGAAUUUUGCGCAAUGGGGGAAACCCUGACGCAGCAACGCCGCGUGCGGGACGAAGGCCCUCGGGUUGUAAACCGCUUUCAGCAGGGAAGAUCCAAGACGGUACCUGCAGAAGAAGCUCCGGCUAACUACGUGCCAGCAGCCGCGGUAAUACGUAGGGGGCGAGCGUUAUCCGGAUUCAUUGGGCGUAAAGCGCGCGUAGGCGGCCGCCUAAGCGGGACCUCUAACCCCGGGGCUCAACCCCGGGCCGGGUCCCGGACUGGGCGGCUCGAGUGCGGUAGAGGAGAGCGGAAUUCCCGGUGUAGCGGUGGAAUGCGCAGAUAUCGGGAAGAACACCGAUGGCGAAGGCAGCUCUCUGGGCCGUCACUGACGCCGAGGCGCGAAAGCUGGGGGAGCGAACAGGAUUAGAUACCCUGGUAGUCCCAGCCGUAAACGAUGGGCGCUAGGUGUGGGGGGACGAUCCCUCCGUGCCGCAGCCAACGCAUUAAGCGCCCCGCCUGGGGAGUACGGCCGCAAGGCUAAAACUCAAAGGAAUUGACGGGGGCCCGCACAAGCAGCGGAGCAUGUGGCUUAAUUCGAAGCAACGCGAAGAACCUUACCAGGGCUUGACAUGCCGAUGAAGCCGGGGAGACCCGGUGGCCGAGAGGAGUCGGCGCAGGUGGUGCAUGGCUGUCGUCAGCUCGUGUCGUGAGAUGUUGGGUUAAGUCCCGCAACGAGCGCAACCCCCGCCCCGUGUUGCCAGCAUUCGGUUGGGGACUCGCGGGGGACUGCCGGCGUCAAGCCGGAGGAAGGUGGGGACGACGUCAAGUCAUCAUGCCCCUUAUGCCCUGGGCUGCACACGUGCUACAAUGGCCGGUACAGAGGGUUGCCACCCCGCGAGGGGGAGCGGAUCCCGGAAAGCCGGUCCCAGUUCGGAUCGCAGGCUGCAACCCGCCUGCGUGAAGCCGGAGUUGCUAGUAAUCGCGGAUCAGCACGCCGCGGUGAAUACGUUCCCGGGCCU
rnacentral:rRNA from 1 species